rnacentral:tRNA from 1 species
GUGUGGUGUAGCGGUCAUCAUGCUCGCCUAAUACGGGAGAGGUCCCCGGUUCGAAACCGGGCGGAAACA